UACGUAGGGUGCAAGCGUUGUCCGGAAUUAUUGGGCGUAAAGAGCUCGUAGGCGGUUUGUCGCGUCUGCUGUGAAAACUCGGGGCUUAACUCCGGGCCUGGAGUGGGUACGGGCAGACUAGAGUGCGGUAGGGGAGACUGGAAUUCCUGGUGUAGCGGUGAAAUGCGCAGAUAUCAGGAGGAACACCGGUGGCGAAGGCGGGUCUCUGGGCCGUAACUGACGCUGAGGAGCGAAAGCGUGGGGAGCGAACAGG
rnacentral:rRNA from 1 species